CCUACGGGAGGCAGCAGUGGGGGAUAUUGGACAAUGGGGGAAACCCUGAUCCAGCGACGCCGCGUGAGUGAAGAAGUAUUUCGGUAUGUAAAGCUCUAUCAGCAGGGAAGAAAGAAAUGACGGUACCUGAGUAAGAAGCCCCGGCUAACUACGUGCCAGCAGCCGCGGGAAUACGUAUGGGGCAAGCGUUAUCCGGAAUUACUGGGUGUAAAGGGAGCGUAGGCGGUAAUGCAAGUCUGGAGUGAAAGGGGGGGGCCCAACCCCCGGUCUGCUCUGGAAACUGGGUAACUGGAGUGCAGGAGAGGCAGGCGGAAUUCGUGGUGUAGCGGUGAAAUGCGUAGAUAUUAGGAGGAACACCAGUGGCGAAGGCGGCCUGCUGGACUGUAACUGACGUUGAGGCUCGAAAGCGUGGGGAGCAAACAGGAUUAGAUACCCUAGUAGUC
rnacentral:rRNA from 1 species